AGUGAACGCUGGCGGCAUGCUUUACACAUGCAAGUCGAACGGCAGCGAGAGAGAAGCUUGCUUCUCUUGUCGGCGAGUGGCGAACGGGUGAGUAAUACAUCGGAACGUACCCUGUAGUGGGGGAUAACUACUCGAAAGAGUAGCUAAUACCGCAUACAACCUGAGGGUAAAAGUGGGAGACCGCAAGGCCUCACGCUAUAGGAGCGGCCGAUGGAAGAUUAGCUAGUUGGUAGGGUAAAGGCCUACCAAGGCGACGAUCUUUAGCGGGUCUGAGAGGACGAUCCGCCACACUGGGACUGAGACACGGCCCAGACUCCUACGGGAGGCAGCAGUGGGGAAUUUUGGACAAUGGGCGAAAGCCUGAUCCAGCAAUGCCGCGUGAGUGAAGAAGGCCUUCGGGUUGUAAAGCUCUUUUGUUUGGGAAGAAAUCCUAACGGAUAAUACCUGUUGGGGAUGACGGUACCAAAAGAAUAAGCACCGGCUAACUACGUGCCAGCCGCCGCGGUAAAAC
rnacentral:rRNA from 1 species